rnacentral:hammerhead_ribozyme from 1 species
AUAAAGCCGACGAGUUCCAAAUAGAACGAAACGUGUGUUCUGUAU